CCGGCGACCGGCGCACGGGUGAGUAACACGUAUGCAAUCCACCUGUAACAGGGGGAGUAACCCGGGGAAAGUCCGGACUAAUACCCCAUAAUAUGGGCUCUCCGCAUGGAGGGUCCAUUAAAGAGAGCAAUUUUGGUUACAGACGAGCAUGCGCUCCAUUAGCCAGUUGGCGGGGUAACGGCCCACCAAAGCGACGAUGGAUAGGGGUUCUGAGAGGAAGGUCCCCCACAUUGGAACUGAGACACGGUCCAA
rnacentral:rRNA from 1 species